AUUGAACGCUGACGGCAGGCCUAACACAUGCAAGUCGAGCGGAGCGGCGGACGGGUGAGUAAUGCCUAGGAAUCUGCCUGGUAGUGGGGGAUAAAGUCCGGAAACGGGCGCUAAUACCGCAUACUAUCAGAAGAGCCUAGGGCGGAUUAGCUAGUAGGUGGGGUAACGGCCUACUAAGGCGACGAUCCGUAACUGGUCUGAGAUGAUGAUCAGUCACACUGGAACUGAGAGACGGUCCAUACUCCUACGGGAGGCAGCAGUGGGGAAUAUUGGACAAUGGGCAAAAGCCUGAUCCAGCCAUGCCGCGUGUGUUAAGAAGGGCUUAGGAUUGUAAAGCACUUUAAGUUGGGAGGCGUUACCAACAGAAUAAGCACCUGCUAACUUCGUUCCAGCAGCCGCGGUAAUUC
rnacentral:rRNA from 1 species